rnacentral:RNase_P_RNA from 1 species
AAAGUAAGCUGGGCAAUCGCCGGUGCAAGGCCGAAAGGUCGCACGGGAGGAAAGUCCGAGCUCCAUAGGGCAGGGUGCCGGAUAACGUCCGGCGGGAGCAAUCCUAGGGACAGUGCCACAGAAAUGAAGACCGCCGAUGAAGGUGCAAACCUUACAGGCAAGGAUGCAACGGUGCGGUAAGAGCGCACCAGCGGCCUGGAGACAGGUCGGCUAGGUAAACCCCACCUGGAGCAAGACCGGAUAGGAGUGCACAUGUGGUGGCCCGCCACGCACUCGGGUUGGUCGCUGGAGCAAUCCGGCAACGGAUUGCCUAGAUAGAUGAUUGCUACUCCGCUGUGCGAGGCUUGGGGUGUCCCUAUGGAACAACAAUUUCAGAGGGACACGGACAAUCCGUUUGCAGCACUGGAGCACAAAACUCGGCUUACAGGCUUGCUUUCCAC